UGAAUUAUGGGCCUGGUCCAAAGCCCACUGAAGUCAAUAGCAGACCUUCCAUUCACUACAAUGGGCCUUGGGUCAGGCCUACAUACA
rnacentral:pre_miRNA from 1 species